AGAAUGUGUAUAUAUUAAUCAUCUCCAGUGCAACCUGAUUACUUCGGAAGAAGCAUGUUUUCUUAUAGAUAAUAUAAUUGUGUAUAUUGUUACCUUCCCCUCUGUCUGAAUUAAUUCAGUACACCUUCACAAGAAUAAAGUAUUUUACUUGUCAUCUGUUAAAGAGGCACACCUCUGGCAUAAGGCGCAGGGUGGGCCUCAUUUCUUGAAAGGCAUGGGACUUUCAAGAUACGUGCGCCAUUUUGUCAAGGUGUGCCACAAGAAUUUCAAAAGAAUUCUCUCAAUUAUCACUUAGAGAUUCACUUGUAGUUGUAUAUAUCGAUAUAUACACAGUACACACACAGAAAGUUAUAUAUGUUUAAUGAAUUUAUACUAGAUUAUAACUCAUUACAAACAAA
rnacentral:misc_RNA from 1 species